rnacentral:rRNA from 1 species
AUACGGAGGGUGCAAGCGUUACGCGGAAUCACUGGGCGUAAAGCGCGCGCAGGCGGCUAUUUAAGUUGGAUGUGAAAGCCUACGGCUCAACCGUAGAACUGCAUCCAAAACUAUUUAGCUAGAGUGUGAGAGAGGAAGAUGGAAUUAGUUGUGUAGGGGUAAAAUCCGUAGAGAUAACUAGGAAUACCAAAAGCGAAGGCAAUCUUCUGGAACACUACUGACGCUGAGGCGCGAAAGCGUGGGGAGCAAACAGAAUUAGAAACCCUAGUAGUCC